CAAGCCCUGCCGGGACCGAAGCUUCUAGUUCCACUAGGAGUACUUAUGUAGGUUUCGGUGGGGCUUU
rnacentral:sRNA from 12 species